GGGCCCGUGGCCAAGCAAGGAUAAGGCACAGGCCUUCUAAGCCUGAGAUCAAGGGUUCGAGUCCCUUCGGGCCCGCCA
rnacentral:tRNA from 1 species